rnacentral:lncRNA from 1 species
CCCAAAGUGGGUAGCCCUCUGUGAGGAUGAGUCCAGGAUUUUUAUGGGCUCAGAAUGGGGGAAGUUUUCACUCCAGUUGUGGGCUCCACCCAGAACUGGCAGCUCAGGUUCUCAGGCUUCAGGCUGUCUUUGGUUUGAAGGUUAGGUUUCAUCGGGGAACUUUCCCUGUCUGCCCAGGGAUGCAUCUGCUCCUGUUGCUAUCAUACCUAAGGUCACUUUUUCAUGUGUUCUGCCAAUUAAGUUUUCUCUUCUUUGAAUAAACUGAUUAAAUCCUUUGUCCUUUCUAUCUUGAAUUGUUUGCUUUUCUUAUACAUUUCCAUACACACACACACACACACACAUAUUCUGGACUUUACAACUUUCCCUUAGAUGCAAAACAAAUAUGGUCUCUUGGAUAUGGACUAUUUCUAUAUUUAUAGUAAUUUUAAUGUACAGAAAAUUUUUAAUUUAAUGUCAUACACUUACAAAUACUUUCCUUUAUAGUUUCACUUUCUUUUUUCAUUUUCACAAUUCUUUAAAUAUUCUAUUCAGAGAAUAUUAUGUGCCAGGUACUAGAUCUAGGGGUACAGCAGCAAACACAAUAGAUGAAGUGCCUAUUCCCUUCUCAGCACCGAUAAUAAUUGAUAUAAAGAAAAGUAAAACAGGGUAAUGAUAUA